rnacentral:rRNA from 1 species
GGCGAACGCUGGCGGCAGGCUUAACACAUGCAAGUCGAGCGGGCACUUCGGUGUCAGCGGCAGACGGGUGAGUAACACGUGGGAACGUACCCUUUGGUUCGGAAUAACGCUGGGAAACUAGCGCUAAUACCGGAUACGCCCUUUUGGGGAAAGGCUUGCUGCCGAAGGAUCGGCCCGCGUCUGAUUAGCUAGUUGGUGGGGUAAUGGCCUACCAAGGCGACGAUCAGUAGCUGGUCUGAGAGGAUGAUCAGCCACACUGGGACUGAGACACGGCCCAGACUCCUACGGGAGGCAGCAGUGGGGAAUAUUGGACAAUGGGCGCAAGCCUGAUCCAGCCAUGCCGCGUGAGUGAUGAAGGCCUUAGGGUUGUAAAGCUCUUUUGUCCGGGACGAUAAUGACGGUACCGGAAGAAUAAGCCCCGGCUAACUUCGUG